UAAUUCUCUCUGAUUUCUCUGCCGACUCCACAUUUCUUUUUCGCUUCGUCUCCUCCCCUUCUUCACCCAGCCAAACCUUCUCUUCUUUUCCUUUUCAUCGCCAAAGCCUCCGAGUCUUCCUCUCUUCUCUUCCAUCCUUGCCCAAGUGCCAGCGACGCUCGAGCCACCGCCGGUCGAACCUAUCUCCUCUGGAGUCUCAGCCGACGCUGCUCUCCCGUCUGCUUAGAUCCGUCGACCACCAGUCGUCGGCAAUGACGCCGACGAGCUCGACGAGCAGGGAGCAACACUAAGCGCAGGUUUCCUUCCCUUCGCUGGAGACCAGGGCGAUGACGCAGUCGACCCCUUAUUCAGCCGCCGUGCCCUAGCAUCAGUUGCCGAUUCUUAUUUUUCUUACUCUCUGGUCGUGGGGAUCUUGGACAGAAGAUAACUUCCUUCAUCAGAUCCUUGAUCACCACCAUUAAUUGGAGAGUAAUAUGCAGAUCUAGAUUUGGGCAAGUAAAAAGGAAUAGGGCAUCAGUAAACCUCUGUUGACAGCUGCGUAUUACCAUUAACCACCUUCGAAUUGGGGAUUCGUAUUCGGGACGAGCACAUCGACAUAGAGGUUGAUUAGCUCGAUUUACAUUGGAGGCGGGU